AAUAUAUCAGCUGGAAUAUAAUUAUAUAUAAUUACUAAUUUGAAAGAUACACUUGAACAGUUUCUGAUUGGUUGAUUUUUUUUCUUUUUCUUUUGUUUUCUUUUUCUGCUGUGUUGUUUGUCACUUUAAUUCAUUAAUUAAAUAUUUAUACUGGAUCCUGAUAGUGGAUUACAUGUCUGAUAGUGGCUCAAGCUGUUGGCUACGUGUUCGUUUUCCUGCAUCUUCUCCUUUGCCAUAUCACCUUUUUCCACACACUGCCUCUCUCUCUCUCUCUCUCUAAACCUUCUACAUAACUCAUCCCUUUUCUUUUCUACCUCCUUCUGUAUUUCGAUUAGGGCUCCACUGUGUCUGCUCGAUCUCCGCCAUCAGCAUGCAACUUUGCCGUCUCCGACUUGAUCGAUCCGCUGAGAAAAUUAAUCAAUGGCGAGAGGAAAGAUCUAGGGAAAGAAAAUAGUGAAUUCGCGAUUUCAUCAUUUUAAGACUCAGAUAUACAUCAAUAGGAAGUGUUAAUGACACAACUCCAGAUACAUUGUUAUGCAUUAAAGAUUCUGGUAAGGAAAAGUUGAAGCCUGCAUAUAUGCUUUCAGACGGAAGAUUAGAAAGAGCUGGAAUAGAAAAAAAAAGUUAACUAAAAAAGUCAACGAUGGAGUCAAAGAUGUGGAAUCACAUUAAGAAAACACCCCUUCAACCUCAAUCACAGCAGUGGGUGAUGAAAUUAUGUCUGGAAGUGUGGAGGUUGAAUUAAGACAUUUGUUGUGUAGGAAGCUUCAUUCUAUUGGUUGGAAUGUCUCACAUAUUCCUGUUGUAUCAAGUGAUAUACGUAGAUUCUGUAGCUCAAGAAGUUGAAAACCAAAAGUCUACAAGUUACAUGGUAUGCCAUUUAUUACAUGUAAAUGUGUAUGUUAUCAUUUUUUAUUUUUUAUAAUCUAAAAGGUGAAAUGACAUGUUAUUAAAUAUUAAACAUAAAAAAACAAUAUCACUAUUUUUGAUUUUAUAUUUCCUUUAUAUAUUGGUUGAAAUCAGUUAUCCUAAUUUAUGCAAAUAUUCCACCAUUUUUUACUCAAAUUUGUUUUGGCAGGCGGGUAAGGGUUUGUCAUUGGAUUCCCAAGCUCAUAUAUUAAUAUUUCAAAUCUGGAUUGAAUUUAUUUAUGGUCGACAUCCAACAUGGUGAUAGUUUACAGUUGUAUUAUGAGGAGUGGUAAGAAGCUAAUGUUGGCCAACCUUUCUUCCACUGGUGUGUAUAGCUAAUUUACUAUUUUAAAACAAAAUUUAUUGCAUUUCCUUUACAAAUUGCAAAGUAUGUACACAUUUUCUAAUAAUUGAUUUUGUUAUACCUUUCAUGAUAUUUACUUUGUAGCUUUUUUAGGAUUAUGUUAUGAAA